CCUUCGGGGAACGAUAACGGCGUCGAGCGGCGGACGGGUGAGUAAUGCCUAGGAAAUUGCCCUGAUGUGGGGGAUAACCAUUGGAAACGAUGGCUAAUACCGCAUGAUGCCUACGGGCCAAAGAGGGGGACCUUCGGGCCUCUCGCGUCAGGAUAUGCCUAGGUGGGAUUAGCUAGUUGGUGAGGUAAGGGCUCACCAAGGCGACGAUCCCUAGCUGGUCUGAGAGGAUGAUCAGCCACACUGGAACUGAGACACGGUCCAGACUCCUACGGGAGGCAGCAGUGGGGAAUAUUGCACAAUGGGCGCAAGCCUGAUGCAGCCAUGCCGCGUGUGUGAAGAAGGCCUUCGGGUUGUAAAGCACUUUCAGUCGUGAGGAAGGUGGUGUAGUUAAUAGCUGCAUCAUUUGACGUUAGCGACAGAAGAAGCACCGGCUAACUCCGUGCCAGCAGCCGCGGUAAUACGGAGGGUGCGAGCGUUAAUCGGAAUUACUGGGCGUAAAGCGCAUGCAGGUGGUUUGUUAAGUCAGAUGUGAAAGCCCGGGGCUCAACCUCGGAAUAGCAUUUGAAACUGGCA
rnacentral:rRNA from 1 species